UACGGAGGAGGCAAGCGUUAUCCGGAAUUAUUGGGCGUAAAGCGUCCGCAGGUGGCACUUCAAGUCUGUCGUCAAAGACUGGGGCUUAACCCUGGAAAGGCGGUGGAACCUGAAGCGCUAGAGUGUGGUAGGGGUAGAGGGAAUUCCCGGUGUAGCGGUGAAAUGCGUAGAGAUCGGGAAGAACAUCGGUGGCGAAGGCGCUCUACUGGACCACAACUGACACUCAGGGACGAAAGCUAGGGGAGCGAGUGGG
rnacentral:rRNA from 1 species